ensembl:lncRNA
GCCAAACUGAGUUACUUUUUUGAAGAAGUAACUAUAUAAUUAAUUGCCCAAAAUUGGUCAUUAUAUGCUGUGUUUUGCAGACAGAGAGUUACAGACUCUCUCCCAGACCACAGACUCAUACUCAUACGAUUGUAUGGUUGCCGGUUCGAGCCCCGGCUUGGACAGUCUCGGCAGGGCUCUAGAGUGCGACCAAUUUGGUCGCAAAUGCGACCAAAUUGGUGCGACUAAAAAAAAAAAAUUUGGUUGCACCUGUGCGACCAACUGUUCGGGUAGCAAAAAAAAAAAAUCUGCAACCUUCCCUGUGGUCAACAACAGACACACGUUAUGCCCCUAUCGUGGACUAAACCAAUCAGAGAUAGUAAGGGGCGGGACCUCUCUGAUUGGCCGUGGUCCAGUUGAAAGUGCAGGUGGAGAGAGGGAGGUGAGUAGCUUGAAUAAAGCGAUAUCAAUUCAUUAAAUCCUGAAUCGACUUUUAAACAUAACUGUGUUUUGCCAGAAACGCCAGAUUCUCAGAUUAAAGCUCACAAAACCAUUUCAACAACAACCAAACAGCAAAUGAGAGCAGGUACACGGACUCCACACAAAGACGUAAACACAGAACGGACCCGACGCAUCAGAAUCAACUUUGUCUUUCUCGGCUUUCUCACCCGACGGCCCGUAGACGGACACGCUGUCGGAGCUUAGCGAUCCUGAUGCGUCCGGUCCGCGCUGUGAUUACGUCUUUUUGCGCUGAUUCUGAGCUGCAGGUUUUGUCUCUCCAACCAAAAUUCACCGAGCCAGCAGCAAAAGAAGCAGCAAACUGCGCUUCACAUUUGAUCAAUGUCGUCAUGAAUUUUGCUGUUUUGCUUCCACGACUAUUAAAAUCACACUUCAUGCACAGCUAGCUCUCUCUCUCUCUCUCUGUACUUCAAGAACAGUUUCCCGUCUCCAAUCUCUGUUUUCUGUAUUAUUCAUUCGCUUAUUACCCACCAGUCUACCGUUGUUUACAGCGCUGUGGCUGCUGUCUUUUUCUUAUCUUUUUUUCACUU